UACAGAGGUCUCAAGCGUUGUUCGGAUUCAUUGGGCGUAAAGGGCGCGUAGGCUGCGGGGCAAGUCGGGUGUGAAAUCUCAGAGCUCAACUCUGAAACUGCACUCGAUACUGCUUUGCUCGAGGACUGGAGAGGAGAUUGGAAUUCACGGUGUAGCAGUGAAAUGCGUAGAUAUCGUGAGGAAGACCAGUGGCGAAGGCGGAUCUCUGGACCGAUACUGACGCUGAGGAGCGAAAGCGUGGGGAGCGAACAGG
rnacentral:rRNA from 1 species